GCAGGGGGCACAGUGGUUAGAACAUUUGCCUCACACCUCCAGGGUUGGGGGUUCAAUUCCCACGUCUCUGCU